ensembl:lncRNA
GUUUGAGUGUGUGUGUGUGUGUGCUGUAUUGCAGUGGGCAGCUUGUGGUGGAACAGAAGGUCUCUGCAUGGUGGGCAGUGUGGGCGGACUUCGGGAUUCACCGUGAAAAACAAUAACGAGCCAAGGACACUUCCCAAGCAGGGGUUCAAAGAUAUGUGAGUGUGUGAGAGAGAAUGCUUGUGGAAGUUUUAACAUAUUGUUUGACAAAGUACAUUCUUUUCAGUUACAAACAAUUGUUCACCUCAAUAUCAUCCAUCUGUAUCAUUUCUCAAAUGCUCUGGGUGGGUGUCAGUUGAAGUGGGCAAAACGGUGCAUUCUGCUAUGGCUUGUGGUGCCUCGCACACAGCAGUGCUUGGAUUUUGAGCCCAAGUUGUUGUUGUUUUAGCAGUAGUUGAUUCUGUUCCACUGAGUACAAAUGAAUCCCUUCUUAUGCUUUUAACACACAUCCUCAGCCUUGAAAGUUUUUGAUAUGUUUGGCUUCAGAACAGUAUUUCUCAUCUUUCUGUAUGUACAUCCCCUUUACACACUCUGAGACAGAGGAUGGUUUGUUUAAUGUACCGAGUUCGGUGGCAGUAGUUUCGGGACUAGUAACAGUGAUUUGUUUUCAAAACGCUGAUGAGCUCCAGAUGUUUGGACCUGCUUCUGUUCGGGAGUCCAGAGGGCAAAAUAUUCACUCGGAGUACAGAGCUCAAAACAAAUCUGUCUCGAGAGUGGCGUGAGGUCAUUUUGAAGGUUUGAGAAAGAUGGGUUGCAGUCUCGGAAACCAGUUGGUGGUUAAGUGUGGAUAUAGUGUUCAAUCGUGGAAGAGCUAUUGAUUUCCAGAUCCUAGUAGGCUCUUCGUAGCCCUUUCGGAGUAUUUUUACACUCAAAAAGCCCUGUGUCUAUGCAUGUAUGGGUAGUUGAAUGCAUGUGUUCUUGUAUUUAUGGGUAUUUAUGUAGGCAUGCAUGUGUGAACAUCCUCUGCCGUAUGCUCACAACAUCAAUAAGGUAUUAGCUUGCUCACCAAUUUGCCAACUUCAUGUUGUCAUUGUUUGGAACGGGACAGCACUCCUUCCUUACACCUUAUUUCUGGGCCAAUUCGGACUAGGCCUGGCACUGCCAGCCAGAACUGAUCUCACUUCAACAUGCUGGGAUGAGAUCACCUACACCCGUGUCCCUCCACAGGACAAGCGGUUUGGAAAAUGCAUUAAUGGAGAUCACCUACAUUGCAAUUUGGUCACCUCAUUUCAAAAUAUUGAGGCACUGGGUCUAAAGGCAGUGUUUUUGUUGUAG